AGGCAGUGUAUCGUUAGUUUGCUGUUGAACUUAAACCAGCAGCUAUGUACACUACCACA
rnacentral:pre_miRNA from 1 species